rnacentral:misc_RNA from 1 species
AACGCACCUUGCGCUCCUUGGAAUUCCGAGGAGCAUGCCUGUUUGAGUGUCGUUAAACCUUCAAACCUUGCGACAGUGAGGGCUUGGAUUGUGGAGUGUGCUGGAAAAAACAAACCCUCUUCCAGCUCCUCUAAAAUGUAUUAGCGAAGAACCUUGCCUCCAACUGCUUUUAAGCUUUUGGCUUGAUAAUCUCUUUUGUCUACGCCAACUGCCGUUGAGCUAGUGUAAGGCUUUUUUCUGCUCACAAACACACCGCUCUUUUUACCAUUUGACCUCAAAUCAGGUAGGACUACCCGCUGAACUUAA